rnacentral:lncRNA from 1 species
GCAGUUAAUUAACUAGACAACCUCAGCAACCAGAGAAUUCAAAUUCUUCGAAUUUGAACCAGAAACCUCGUCCUGUUUUGAAGUGGUCUCAGUCUGACCUACAAUCUGGCUUUUACUGAAGCCNUANGCGUCCUUGUCACUGCCACAUGGCCUGUAUAGGUUCCUCCCUCUUAUGGAAUACCUUCCACUGCCAAACCUGGAGCUAGAAACUUGUUCAGCAGAUUUAGAACCAUGCUCCAUCCCAUCAACAUCUCUCAGAAAUUCAGGCUCCUAAGUGGUAGCCAUCAAGUCCAUCAAGUUACUGCUGAACCCCAAAUCAGAAUACUUCUCCUGUUGGACCAUGGGUCCAGGUUUGAGAAUCCCCACUCCUAUGUGAUCUUGCUAAACUAUUUUUCUCUAGAUCAUGACUGGUUAAUACAUCAGUUUUGCAAUCGAAAAAAAAGAAGUGAACAAUCUCCUUCACUAACCCACUCAAUC